rnacentral:rRNA from 1 species
GAUGAACGCUGGCGGCGUGCCUAAUACAUGCAAGUCGAGCGAACAGACAAGGAGCUUGCUCCUUUGACGUUAGCGGCGGACGGGUGAGUAACACGUGGGUAACCUACCUAUAAGACUGGGAUAACUUCGGGAAACCGGAGCUAAUACCGGAUAAUAUUUCGAACCGCAUGGUUCGAUAGUGAAAGAUGGUUUUGCUAUCACUUAUAGAUGGACCCGCGCCGUAUUAGCUAGUUGGUAAGGUAACGGCUUACCAAGGCGACGAUACGUAGCCGACCUGAGAGGGUGAUCGGCCACACUGGAACUGAGACACGGUCCAGACUCCUACGGGAGGCAGCAGUAGGGAAUCUUCCGCAAUGGGCGAAAGCCUGACGGAGCAACGCCGCGUGAGUGAUGAAGGUCUUCGGAUCGUAAAACUCUGUUAUUAGGGAAGAACAUACGUGUAAGUAACUAUGCACGUCUUGACGGUACCUAAUCAGAAAGCCACGGCUAACUACGUGCCAGCAGCCGCGGUAAUACGUAGGUGGCAAGCGUUAUCCGGAAUUAUUGGGCGUAAAGCGCGCGUAGGCGGUUUUUUAAGUCUGAUGUGAAAGCCCACGGCUCAACCGUGGAGGGUCAUUGGAAACUGGAAAACUUGAGUGCAGAAGAGGAAAGUGGAAUUCCAUGUGUAGCGGUGAAAUGCGCAGAGAUAUGGAGGAACACCAGUGGCGAAGGCGACUUUCUGGUCUGUAACUGACGCUGACGUGCGAAAGCGUGGGGAUCAAACAGGAUUAGAUACCCUGGUAGUCCACGCCGUAAACGAUGAGUGCUAAGUGUUAGGGGGUUUCCGCCCCUUAGUGCUGCAGCUAACGCAUUAAGCACUCCGCCUGGGGAGUACGACCGCAAGGUUGAAACUCAAAGGAAUUGACGGGGACCCGCACAAGCGGCGGAGCAUGUGGUUUAAUUCGAAGCAACGCGAAGAACCUUACCAAAUCUUGACAUCCUUUGACAACUCUAGAGAUAGAGCCUUCCCCUUCGGGGGACAAAGUGACAGGUGGUGCAUGGUUGUCGUCAGCUCGUGUCGUGAGAUGUUGGGUUAAGUCCCGCAACGAGCGCAACCCUUAAGCUUAGUUGCCAUCAUUAAGUUGGGCACUCUAAGUUGACUGCCGGUGACAAACCGGAGGAAGGUGGGGAUGACGUCAAAUCAUCAUGCCCCUUAUGAUUUGGGCUACACACGUGCUACAAUGGACAAUACAAAGGGCAGCGAAAUCGCGAGGUCAAGCAAAUCCCAUAAAGUUGUUCUCAGUUCGGAUUGUAGUCUGCAACUCGACUACAUGAAGCUGGAAUCGCUAGUAAUCGUAGAUCAGCAUGCUACGGUGAAUACGUUCCCGGGUCU